ACGCACGCUGGCGGCGUGCUUAACACAUGCAAGUCGAACGGGUCUGCCCUGUUUUUUGCGGGGUGGGUCAGUGGCGAACGGGUGAGUAACACGUGAGUAACCUGCCCCUCACUUCUGGAUAACCGCUUGAAAGGGUGGCUAAUACGGGGUGUUCUGGCUGUGCCGCAUGGUGUGGCUGGGAAAGAUUCACUUUUGUGGUGUUUUGGUGGGGGAUGGGCUCGCGGCCUAUCAGCUUGUUGGUGGGGUGAUGGCCUGCCAAGGCUUUGACGGGUAGCCGGCCUGAGAGGGUGGGCGGUCACACUGGGACGGAGAUACGGCCCAGACUCCUGCGGGAGGCAGCAGUGGGGGGUAUUGCACAAUGGGCGGAAGCCUGAUGCAGCGACGUCGCGUGAGGGAUGGAGGCCUUCGGGUUGUGAACCUCUUUCGCCGGUGAAGAAGGUCCUGCUCUUUGUGGUGGGGUUGACGGUAGCCGGGUUAUGAAGCGCCGGCUAACUACGUG
rnacentral:rRNA from 1 species